AGAGUGAUAUUGCUAUCAUGUUGAAUACUCUACGAUGUUCUAUUGUACCUGAGG
rnacentral:ribozyme from 1 species